rnacentral:rRNA from 1 species
UUCAUCCUUUAUUGGAGAGUUUGAUCCUGGCUCAGGACGAACGCUGGCGGCGUGCCUAAUACAUGCAAGUC